GGGGGUGUAGCUCAUUUGGUAGAGCGCUCGCUUCGCAUGCGAGAGGCACGGGGUUCAAUUCCCCGCACCUCCA
rfam:Ipomoea nil DNA, scaffold: scaffold1317, cultivar: Tokyo-kokei standard.